GUAAGAUCAAACACUAACUGAAUCAAAUAACGCAGACUAUAAUUAUUACUAUUCUUAAUGAUCCGAGAUGCGAAUAAUAGCUAAAGUCAUAAUUUUGAAUAUAUUGGUUUGUAAAUUCAUUCCUUUGACAAGUUAUGGGAAGACCACGAACAUCAUUUUUAAUAAGAUCAUAAGCUGUGUUAAAUGUAGCCUCGUAACUGGGCAAACGUUUCUGCUUCUCUACAAUAUAUAAAU